CCCUUAGAUGUUCUGGGCUGCACGCGCGCUACACUGAUGCGAUCAACAAGUUUUUCCUAUGUCGAUAGACACGGGUAAUCUUUUGAACUCGCAUCGUGAUGGGGAUAGAUUAUUGUAAUUAUUAAUCUUCAACGAGGAAUUCCUAGUAGGUGCAAAUCAUCAGUUUGCAUCGAUUACGUCCCUGCCCUUUGUACACGCCGCCCGUCGCUGCUACCGAUUGGUUGAUCUGGUGAAUUAUUCGGACUGCCGGCUGAAGGGGUUUCCUCAUCUGCCAGCGGAAAGUCUUGUUAACCCUAUCAACUAGAGGAAGCAGAAGUCGUAACA
rnacentral:rRNA from 1 species